rnacentral:lncRNA from 1 species
CAUCUCCUUGGUCACAGCUGACAGUUUGCAAUGCCUAACUAACCUGUCUGUGAGGAUAGUGCCGCACUGAAUUGCAGAUAGCUUGGUAGUCAGAGAUUACAUCAAGCAGUCUACGAGUAGAGAAGAAAAAAUAGAUAUAUUCAGCAUUUAAGUUGGGCUUCCAAGGAAUUGUAUCUGUGGUACAGUGAAUAUUAUUAAGUACGCUGCAGUGUUAUCUGCAUCUAUCAGGGUUGAAAAGGAUAGCAGACAGGCAUGAAAUCCUGCUCUUCAACAACAGUGCAAGAAAUAUGAAUUCUCUUCCAGAUUAAUAUUCAAAGCUUCAGCUGCUUGUUUAAGCUCUCUUUACUUGAACAGGAGCUGUCAUUUCUCCCAUUCUGGGAGAAAAGUUCCACUGACAUGAAGUGAUUGUGAUGGGCAAUUUGCUGGAAAAUGAGACGAUUGGACAGUCUGAUGCAGGUUAAAAUGGAAUUGACCCUCUGUAGAUGUUUUCUUAAUGCUUCUUUCAUAAGUGAUGCCAGACAAAGUCAUACCCAGUUCAAGAGCAUGGAUGUUGGCAGUCACGAAUGCAGUGGGUCUCCUAUUUUCUGCUCUCGAGCAGUGGCGGCGAGAGGAGGAACUGUGACGUUUGUAGCUCAGCAGGGAGUAUCUGGGGACCCAGAUGUACUGAGAAUGCUGCAGCAAAGAUGACUUUUUCCAAACCUGUAAGUCUCUUUCUGC